AGCAGGCUGAAGUGGAGGUAAAACUCCAUGGAGGGCCGAACCCACUCCCGUUGAAAUGGUAGGGGAUGACUUGUGGCUAGCGGAGAAAUUCCAAUCGAACCCGGAGAUAGCUGGUUCUCUCCGAAAUAGCUUUAGGGCUAGCCUCAAUUAACAUUACCGCAGGUAAAGCACUGAAUGAGCUAGGGGGCGAAAGCUUACUGAACUCUAUCAAACUCAGAAUGGCGGAUAAUGAAUGAUUGGGAGUCACACUACGUGAGAUAAGUUUCGUGGUGGAAAGGGAAACAGCCCAGACCCACAGCUAAGGUCCCAAAGUACAGUUAAGUGGAAAAGGAUGUGAAAUUGCGCAGACAACCAGGAUGUUGGCUCAGAAGCAGCCACUCAUUCAAAGAGUGCGUAAUAGCUCACUGGUCGAGUGAUUUUGCGCCGAAAAUUUAACGGGGCUAAACUGUACACCGAAGCUUGGGAAUAUACAUUUGUAUGUUGGUAGGAGAGCGUUGUGUAAGGGGUGAAGUCGUAGCGAAAGCGGCGGUGGACUUUACACAAGUGAGAAUGCCGGAAUGAGUAGCGAGAAUUAUGUGAGAAUCAUAAUGGCCGAAAGACUAAGGUUUUAGAAGGAAGGUUCGUCCGCUUCUAGUUAGCCGGGAGCUAAGGCGAGGCCGAGAGGCGUAGUCGAUGCACAUACGGUUGAGAUUCCGUAGCUACCUUGCAUUUAAGCGAAGGGACACAUUUGAAGGGCAUGACCCGGGCGUUGGUUGACCCGGGCGUAAGGGACCGAAAAUAAGUAGGGAAGCAUGCUUGGAUGGUGGCGAGAAAAGCUUCGUGUAUAUAAGCAGGGUACCCGUACUGCAAACCGACACAGGUAGUCAGGAAGAGGAUUCUAAGGCCAUCGGGAGAAGCGUUGUUAAGGAACUCGGCAAAUUGACCCCGUAACUUCGGAAUAAGGGGUGCUCACGCGAGUGAGCCGCAGUGAAUAGGUCCAGGCAACUGUUUAUCAAAAACACAGCUCUCUGCUAAAUCGUAAGAUGACGUAUAGGGGGUGACACCUGCCCGGUGCUGGAAGGUUAAGAGGAGGGGUGCAAGCUCCGAAUUGAAGCCCCAGUAAACGGCGGCCGUAACUAUAACGGUCCUAAGGUAGCGAAAUUCCUUGUCGGGUAAGUUCCGACCCGCACGAAUGGUGUAAUGAUCUGGACACUGUCUCAACAACGCACCCGGCGAAAUUGUAGUACCGGUGAAGAUGCCGGUUACCCGCGGCAAGACGGAAAGACCCCAUGGAGCUUCACUGUAGCCUGAUAUUGGGUCUCGGUAUUUUAUGUACAGGAUAGGCGGGAGACUUGGAAACCAGCACGCCAGUGUUGGCGGAGUCACCCUUGGGAUACCGCUCUUAAAGUAUUGAGAUUCUAACCUGCAGCCAUGAAUCUGGCUGGGGGACAUUGUCAGGUGGGCAGUUUGACUGGGGCGGUCGCCU
rnacentral:rRNA from 1 species